rnacentral:rRNA from 1 species
AUACGGAGGGUGCAAGCGUUGUUCGGAUUUACUGGGCGUGAAGCGCACGUAGGCGGACUGUCAAGUCGGGUGUGAAAACCAGUGGCUUAACCACUGGCCUGCACUCGAAACUGGUAGUCUUGAGUACCGGAGAGGAUGGCGGAAUUCCUGGUGUAGCGGUGAAAUGCGUAGAUAUCAGGAAGAACACCGGCGGCGAAGGCGGCCAUCUGGACGGAUACUGACGCUCAGGUGCGAAGGCUAGGGGAGCAAACAGGAUUAGAAACCCGAGUAGUCC